UCGAUAGAAACGAUGAAGUUAUUACGGAUGUAAAUGAGCACUAGCUCACGCGUCCGAGAGCGCAUAAUUCAUGUGGAUGUCUCCGUUGCCUUCCUUCUGACUUUUUUC
rnacentral:snoRNA from 1 species